rnacentral:rRNA from 1 species
CCUACGGGUGGCUGCAGUGAGGAAUAUUGGUCAAUGGGCGCGAGCCUGAACCAGCCAAGUAGCGUGAAGGAUGACUGCCCUACGGGUUGUAAACUUCUUUUAUAAAGGAAUAAAGUGAGGCACGUGUGCCUUUUUGUAUGUACUUUAUGAAUAAGGAUCGGCUAACUCCGUGCCAGCAGCCGCGGUAAUACGGAGGAUCCGAGCGUUAUCCGGAUUUAUUGGGUUUAAAGGGAGCGUAGGCCGCAUGUCAAGCGUGCUGUGAAAUGUCCGGGCUCAACCCGGGCCUUGCAGCGCGAACUGGCGUGCUUGAGUCCGCGGAAAGCAGGCGGAAUUCGUCGUGUAGCGGUGAAAUGCUUAGAUAUGACGAAGAACCCCGAUUGCGAAGGCAGCUUGCUGCAGCGGAACUGACGCUGAUGCUCGAAAGCGCGGGUAUCGAACAGGAUUAGAUACCCUGGUAGUC